ACUCCUACGGGAGGCAGCAGUAAGGAAUAUUGGGCAAUGGAGGCAACUCUGACCCAGCCAUGCCGCGUGGAGGAUGAAGGUCCUCUGGAUUGUAAACUUCUUUUAUUUGGGAAGAAAUGCCGACUUUCUAGUUGGUUUGACGGUACCAGAUGAAUAAGCACCGGCUAACUCCGUGCCAGCAGCCGCGGUAAUAC
rnacentral:rRNA from 1 species